GACGAACGCUGGCGGCGUGCUUAACACAUGCAAGUCGAACGGAAAGGCCCUGCUUGCCGGGUACUCGAGUGGCGAACGGGUGAGUAACACGUGGGUGAUCUGCCCUGCACUUCGGGAUAAGCCUGGGAAACUGGGUCUAAUACCGGAUAGGAGCCAUUUUUAGUGUGAUGGUUGGAAAGUUUUUUCGGUGUAGGAUGAGCUCGCGGCCUAUCAGCUUGUUGGUGGGGUAAUGGCCUACCAAGGCGGCGACGGGUAGCCGGCCUGAGAGGGUGGACGGCCACAGUGGGACUGAGAUACGGCCCAGACUCCUACGGGAGGCAGCAGUGGGGAAUAUUGCACAAUGGGCGCAAGCCUGAUGCAGCGACGCCGCGUGGGGGAUGACGGCCUUCGGGUUGUAAACUCCUUUCGCUAGGGACGAAGCUUUUUGUGACGGUACCUAGAUAAGAAGCACCGGCUAACUACAUG
rnacentral:rRNA from 1 species